UUAGAGUUUGAUCCUGGCUCAGGACGAACUCUGGCGGCGCGCCUAACACAUGCAAGUCGAACGGUAAGGCCCGAAGUAGCAAUACGGAAGGUACACGAGUGGCGCACGGGUGCGUAACGCGUAUGUAAUCUGCCCUUGACCGGAACAAAACAGCUGGAAACGGCUGCUAAUAUUCCAUGGUCAUUUUCGGAGGCAUCUCCGGGGAUGUAAAGAUUUAUUGGUCAAGGAUGAGCAUGCGUAUUAUUAGAUAGUUGGUGGGGUAACGGCCCACCAAGUCGACGAUGAUUAGGGGUUCUGAGAGGAUUAACCCCCACACUGGAACUGAGACACGGUCCAGACUCCUACGGGAGGCAGCAGUAGGGAAUAUUGGGCAAUGGAAGGAAUUCUGACCCAGCCAUGCCGCGUGAAGGAAGACGGUCCUAUGGAUUGUAAACUUCUUUUAUCGCAGAGUAAAUUGGGGCACGUGUGCCCCACUGAGAGUAUGCGAUGAAUAAGUAUCGGCUAACUCCGUGCCAGCAGCCGCGGUAAUACGGAGGAUACGAGCGUUAUCCGGAUUUAUUGGGUUUAAAGGGUGCGCAGGCGGAUCGGUAAGUCAGGGGUGAAAAGUUCGUGCUUAACAUGAAUCGUGCCUUUGAUACUGCCGGACUAGAGUGCAAUAGACGUGGGCGGAAUGUGAUGUGUAGCGGUGAAAUGCUUAGAUAUGUCACAGAACACCGAUCGAGAAGUCAGCUCACGAGUUUGCAACUGACGCUCAUGCACGAAAGCGUGGGGAUCAAACAGGAUUAGAUACCCUGGUAGUCCACGCUGUAAACGAUGAUCACUCGUUGUUGGCCGGCGACGGUCAGUGGCCAAGCGAAAGCGAUAAGUGAUCCACCUGGGGAGUACGAUCGCAAGGUUGAAACUCAAAGGAAUUGACGGGGGCCCGCACAAGCGGAGGAGCAUGUGGUUUAAUUCGAUGAUACGCGAGGAACCUUACCCGGGCUUGAACGUAAGACGACGACGCAGGAGACUGCGUUUCCUUCGGGCGUUUUGCGAGGUGCUGCAUGGUUGUCGUCAGCUCGUGCCGUGAGGUGUUAGGUUAAGUCCUGCAACGAGCGCAACCCUUACUUUUAGUUGCUACGCAAGAGCACUCUAGCAGGACUGCCGUUGACAAAACGGAGGAAGGUGGGGAUGACGUCAAAUCAUCAUGCCCCUUAUGACCUGGGCUACACACGUACUACAAUGGCAAUCAACAAAGAGGAGCAAAGCUGUGAGGCAGAGCAAAUCUCAAAAAAUUGUCCCAGUUCGGAUUGCAGGCUGCAACUCGCCUGCAUGAAGUCGGAAUUGCUAGUAAUCGCGGAUCAGAAUGCCGCGGUGAAUACGUUCCCGGGCCUUGCACUCACCGCCCGUCAAG
rnacentral:rRNA from 1 species